AGGGCAAACUGCCAAAAUUGCUGCUUAGGAAACGAAGUACCCCGGGCUCGACACCGCUGUAAGGACGUAACCUUGAGAAGGGACAGCAUUCAAUAACCCUGGCUUCAGAUGCCUUCUUGAAUGUCUCAUUCUCCUGAACAAGGGCAGUGGUGACAGAUGUCAUCUCUGGUGGCGAGAGAGGAAGCAAGGAGAUAUGUCAUUCUGAGUGCUCUUGUUUGAGGAGACAGCUUGGAGCUGGUAGUUUGCUGGAGAUGCUGACGUGGAUGAAUGGCUGACUCUGAGCUACUGGAAUAUCUGUGGGAGAGAGAAGGCAGGAUGGAAUGAGGGACAACACAUUGAAGAGUUGCCUGUGAGGUGCUUGCAGCUUCUACUGCUGUUCUCGGCUGAUGUCCAUUUUAAUGACUGUGUUAGGGGAUAAAGUAUUUC